rnacentral:rRNA from 1 species
UCGAACGGCAGCACGGGGGCAAACCCUGGUGGCGAGUGNCGAACGGUNGAGUAAUACAUCGGAACGUGUCCUGUAGUGGGGGAUAGCCCGGCGAAAGCCGGAUANAUACCGCAUACGCUCGAGAGAGGAAAGUGGGGGAUCUUCGGACCUCACGCUAAAGGGGCGGCCGAUGGCAGAUUAGCUAGUUGGUGGGGUAAAGGCCUACCAAGGCGACGAUCUGUAGCUGGUCUGAGAGGACGACCAGCCACACGGGGACUGAGACACGGCCCCGACUCCUACGGGAGGCGGCAGUGGGGAAUUUUCCGCAAUGGGCGAAAGCCUGACGGAGUGACGCCGCGUGUGGGACGAAGGCCUUCGGGUCGUAAACCACUGUCAGUGGGAAAGGUGGGUGUCGGCGCCAAUACCGCCGGCAUCUGACGGUACCUGCAGAGGAAGCCCCGGCCAACUCUGUG